CGCUCGCCUCGGGCAGCAGGUGCUCGAGCACCUCGGGCGCGUUCGCCUCGACGAGCCGCAGGUUCUGGACGCCCUCGCGGGCGGC
rnacentral:tRNA from 1 species